rnacentral:rRNA from 1 species
CCUACCGAUUGAAUGGUCCGGUGAACACUUUGGAUUUUAGGCGAAUGAACUGUAAAAGGGGAGUUCGUUUGGGAGAAGUCGUGUAAAUCUUAUCAUUUAGAGGAAGGUGAAGUCGUAACAAGGUU